rnacentral:tRNA from 2 species
GGGCCGUUAGCUCAGUUGGCAGAGCAGGGGACUUUUAAUCCCAAGGCCCAGGGUUCGAACCCCUGACGGCCCACCA